rnacentral:rRNA from 1 species
CCUACGGGUGGCAGCAGUGAGGAAUAUUGGUCAAUGGACGAGAGUCUGAACCAGCCAAGUAGCGUGAAGGAUGACUGCCCUAUGGGUUGUAAACUUCUUUUAUAUGGGAAUAAAAUGUUCCACGUGUGGGAUUUUGUAUGUACCAUAUGAAUAAGGAUCGGCUAACUCCGUGCCAGCAGCCGCGGUAAUACGGAGGAUCCGAGCGUUAUCCGGUUUUAUUGGGUUUAAAGGGAGCGUAGGUGGAUUGUUAAGUCAGUUGUGAAAGUUUGCGGCUCAACCGUAAAAUUGCAGUUGAAACUGGCAGUCUUGAGUACAGUAGAGGUGGGCGGAAUUCGUGGUGUAGCGGUGAAAUGCUUAGAUAUCACGAAGAACUCCGAUUGCGAAGGCAGUUCACUGGACUGCAACUGACACUGAGGCUCGAAAGUGUGGGUAUCAAACAGGAUUAGAUACCCUUGUAGUC